rnacentral:lncRNA from 1 species
UAUGCUUUCCAACAAAAAUUGUUUGUAGCAUAACUAACUUUAUUUAAUUAAUUUAAAAAUGUAAAUCAAUUAUUUUAAAUCUCUUGUUGUAAUUCCAGGUUAUUAAUGCCUAUCUGACUGUCUUGGUAAGUAAAUUCAACCAAGACAGUGCUGAAAAAGCAUUUGUGGUUGAUACCUAUGAAAUGACAUGGGUAUGGAAGCGGAAUAAGCCAAAAAUUAAGAUUGACCCAGUCUUCUACAAGUAUAUUUUGGGAGUUGUCAAUGAAGGUCAUCACUGGAUGCUGGUGGUGAUCAAACCUGGAGAAAAGAGAAGCGUGUUUCUCGAUCCACUUGGUGAAAGCCAAAGGAGAGUCACACAAUGUCAGGACAUUUCAAGGUUUUUCAUGAGACACAGAGGGCUUAAUGCAUCAAGAUGGGCAUGUGACACACUGCCUCAUCCUAUUCAACAGGAUGCAACUUCAUGUGGUGCCUACGUAUUGAAGGUAUGUGUAAGAGCAUGACUGAAAUAAACACAAUGUUAGCUUUUGAAUAAAAGGCAUGCAGAAUAUGGAGCAAUAAAGACCAGCUCUUGGAC